rnacentral:rRNA from 1 species
GACAGAGGGUGCAAACGUUGUUCGGAAUUACUGGGCGUAAAGCGCGUGUAGGCUGCUUGGCAAGUCGGAUGUGAAAGCCCUGGGCUCAACCCAGGAAGUGCAUUCGAAACUGCCGAGCUGGAGUCCUGGAGAGGAAGGCGGAAUUCUCGGUGUAGAGGUGAAAUUCGUAGAUAUCGAGAGGAACACCGGUGGCGAAGGCGGCCUUCUGGACAGUUCCUGACACUGAGACACGAAGGCCAGGGGAGCAAACGGG